AUUGAACGCUGGCGGCAGGCCUAACACAUGCAAGUCGAACGGUAACAGGAAACAGCUUGCUGUUUCGCUGACGAGUGGCGGACGGGUGAGUAAUGUCUGGGAAACUGCCUGAUGGAGGGGGAUAACUACUGGAAACGGUAGCUAAUACCGCAUAACGUCGCAAGACCAAAGAGGGGGACCUUCGGGCCUCUUGCCAUCGGAUGUGCCCAGAUGGGAUUAGCUAGUAGGCGGGGUAACGGCUCACCUAGGCGACGAUCCCUAGCUGGUCUGAGAGGAUGACCAGCCACACUGGAACUGAGACACGGUCCAGACUCCUACGGGAGGCAGCAGUGGGGAAUAUUGCACAAUGGGCGCAAGCCUGAUGCAGCCAUGCCGCGUGUAUGAAGAAGGCCUUCGGGUUGUAAAGUACUUUCAGCGGGGAUGAAGGGAGUAAAGUUAAUACCUUUGCUCAUUGACGUUACCCGCAGAAGAAGCACCGGCUAACUCCGUG
rnacentral:rRNA from 1 species